UCCCACUUCUUACUAAAGUGUGAUCUGGCAGUGUCUAUGCUUGCCCAUGAGCUGGCCCCCGAGCAGGACCUGGCAUCCCCAGCUUCACCCCCUUCUCACCAAGGCAGUAUGAAGAGAUGUGUCAGACCUAUGCCUAGCCCAAACCGUGGGGUGUAGACAACCCACAGAGGCACCUGAGCCCGGGGUGGAGGUGGACUGGCCCUCUCCCCACAGCAGAUGCAUUCCGGGCCCAACUUUCAUCUGAAGCAGCCUUGCAUUCACUUGUUUGAACACAAGAUGUGGAGGUGAUAUUUGAAGUAGGACAUUUGAGAGAAGAGAAAUACGCGAUUGUUCGCGGCAGUACCACCUAUCUGUGAUGAAGACAUGCAACAACCUCUGACUUCAGUGCAACACCCUGGUUGGAUGCUACUGUCACCAACUGUACCUGUAGGCCAUACCC